GCCCUCAUAGUUCAAUAGGAUAGAACAAGGCACUCCUAAGGCUUAGAUCCAGGUUCGAAUCCUGGUGAGGGCA
rnacentral:tRNA from 1 species